CCUGCGGAGGAUCAUUACCGUU
rnacentral:rRNA from 1 species